UACGGGGGGGCAAGCGUUGUUCGGAAUUACUGGGCGUAAAGGGUGCGUAGGCGGCGCGGUAAGUCGGGUGUGAAAUCUUGGAGCUUAACUCCGAAACUGCAUUCGAUACUGCCGUGCUUGAGGACUGGAGAGGAGACUGGAAUUACGGUGUAGCGGUGAAAUGCGUAGAUAUCGUAAGGAAGACCAGUGGCGAAGGCGGGUCUCUGGACAGUUCCUGACGCUGAGGCACGAAGGCCAGGGAGCAAACGGG
rnacentral:rRNA from 1 species